rnacentral:rRNA from 1 species
AUUGAACUCUGGCGGCAGGCCUAACACAUGCAAGUCGAACGGUAACAGGAAGAAGCUUGCUUCUUUGCUGACGAGUGGCGGACGGGUGAGUAAUGUCUGGGAAACUGCCUGAUGGAGGGGGAUAACUACUGGAAACGGUAGCUAAUACCGCAUAACGUCGCAAGACCAAAAAGGGGGACCUUCGGGCCUCUUGCCAUCGGAUGUGCCCAGAUGGGAUUAGCUAGUAGGUGGGGUAACGGCUCACCUAGGCGACGAUCCCUAGCUGGUCUGAGAGGAUGACCAGCCACACUGGAACUGAGACACGGUCCAGACUCCUACGGGAGGCAGCAGUGGGGAAUAUUGCACAAUGGGCGCAAGCCUGAUGCAGCCAUGCCGCGUGUAUGAAGAAGGCCUUCGGGUUGUAAAGUACUUUCAGCGGGGAGGAAGGGAGUAAAGUUAAUACCUUUGCUCAUUGACGUUACCCGCAGAAGAAGCACCGGCUAACUCCGUG